rnacentral:rRNA from 1 species
UCUCUCAGUUCGGACUGGAGUCUGCAACCCGACUCCACGAAGCUGGAUUCGCUAGUAAUCGCGCAUCAGCCACGGCGCGGUGAAUACGUUCCCGGGCCUUGUACACACCGCCCGUCAAGCCAUGGGAGCCGGGGGUACCUGAAGUGCGUAACCGCGAGGAGCGCCCUAGGGUAAAACUGGUGACUGGGGCUAAGUCGUAACAAGGUAAC